rfam:Anaerobacillus arseniciselenatis strain DSM 15340 Ga0137926_169, whole genome shotgun sequence.
UUCACGGCGACGUGAAAUCUGAAGGAAGCGAGCGGCAAACUUCC